UACGUAGGGAGCAAGCGUUGUCCGGAAUCAUUGGGCGUAAAGCGCGCGUAGGCGGCCUCAUAAGUCCGUUGUGAAAGUCAAAGGCUCAACCUUUGAAAGCCGAUGGAUACUGUGAGGCUAGAGUCCGGAAGAGGCGAGUGGAAUUCCUGGUGUAGCGGUGGAAUGCGCAGAUAUCAGGAGGAACACCAAUAGCGAAGGCAGCUCGCUGGGACGGUACUGACGCUAAGGCGCGAAAAGCGUGGGGGAGCGAACAGG
rnacentral:rRNA from 1 species